UACGAAGGGGGCUAGCGUUGCUCGGAAUUACUGGGCGUAAAGGGCGCGUAGGCGGACAGUUUAGUCAGAGGUGAAAGCCCAGGGCUCAACCUUGGAAUUGCCUUUGAUACUGGCUGUCUUGAGUUCGGGAGAGGUGAGUGGAAUGCCGAGUGUAGAGGUGAAAUUCGUAGAUAUUCGGCGGAACACCAGUGGCGAAGGCGACUCACUGGCCCGAUACUGACGCUGAGGCGCGAAAGCGUGGGGAGCA
rnacentral:rRNA from 1 species